rnacentral:lncRNA from 10 species
AUCAGGCCACAGUACAGAUAGAAUUGUCUAUUUUGCCCCUGAAGAUACUUUAGCUCUGAGAAAUGAAUAAGGUGACUGGUUUCACUGGGAGGUGGGAGGAGUGCUGGGAGUGAGGGGAGGAAAUACAAACACGAUGGAAUGUACUACCACCCCUAGGAGAACUCACCGUUGAAUGUAGGGAUUCUUGACUAGCAAGGCCCUUGGAGAUCAGCUGGAGCAAUCUGCUCAUUUUAUAGCUAGGAAAGGAGGCCCAGCAGGAGGGGACGGUGUGCCCAAGGCUGAGAGUGUGGUGAGUGCUGGGUUCCUCCCAAUACCCAUUUCCACCAGGCAAAAUGUCCCAGCAUCCCUUGCAGAUGUGGCCAUGCAACUAAUUCUGGCCAGUAAGACAUAGAUCUCCAGGAAUUCUGAAAAAGAGAGGAGUUAUGCCCCAUUUGCUUUCUAAUGACCCCACCACCACCGCCCCAUCCUGCUGCCUGAAGUGUGAAGCUUCAGCAACAUCUUAGCCCAGAGGGACUGGGCAGCCCCUGGGAAUGGAGGAGAGGAGAACUGGAAGGAGCCUGGAUCUCUGUCGACUUCACUGAGCUUCCCUGGACAGGGCUCUGGAUUUACUUUAUGUGAGAGAAAUCAGCCUCGAUCUUGCUUUUCUGGGGUUUUUUGUUCCAUGUGGCUAAACUUGCGUGGAGUUAAUAGGAGACUCUGAACUCCUGCAGGGACCUUGAUGAGUGUUAAUCGCUCCCUAAAAAUGGCAGUAUCUUCCUCUCUUUUUUCGAAGAGCACCAAUGCUUUCUUCUGCAAUAGAAGUCAAAUGCAUAGUCCCAGUAAACAUGCCCAGGCAAGUAGCUCCGAUAUUUAACCCAUCCUCCCCACCUCGCACACCUCACUCAGCUUCUGCUCCCAGUGACCUGUUUACUGCCCUUCCUGCUCAGACGAGACCCAGGGUUCCUUUCCUCCCUCAGGAAUAUGCAGAAAUGGUGAUUGGGCGAGUGGUUUACUGUAGGAAGGGAAAUACCAGUGUGAAACACCUAUAUUCUCUAUGCCCGUGAAAAUCCCAGAGGGAUUAAAGAGUUCAGUGGUUUGUUGUUGUUGUUGUUGUUGUUUUUAAAAAACACAAUAUCAUAAAAAGGAACUAGAAUUACAAUAAACAUUUAACAAAAUUUGUAAAUGAGGAGGGAUUUCUAAGUUCCGAUUUAAUGAAGAAAAAGGGGAAAAGAGUGAGAUAUUUAAUUAC